rnacentral:tRNA from 1 species
GAUGAUAUAGCUUAGUGAUAGAGCAUUUGCCUCAUAUGCACAGGGUCCUGUGUUCAAUACCCAGUGCUACA